CGUCGUCGUCGUCCGAAUACUUUUAGUUUUCGCACUCUAACUUUAGUAAAAGUGAAUAGAAAUCUAUGAAAUUUUAACACAAGGUUUAUGACCACAAAAAGGAAGGUUGGGAUUGAUUUUGGGAGUUUUGGUCCCAACAUUUUAGGUAUUAGGGGCCAAAAAGGGCCCAAAUAAGCAUUUUCUUGGUUUUCGCACUAUAACUUUAGUUUAAGUAAAUAGAAAUCUAUGAAAUUUUGACACAAGGUUUAUGACCACAAAAGGAAGGUUGGGAUUGAUUUUGGGAGUUUUGGUUCCAACAGUUUAGGAAUUAGGGGCCAAAAAAGGGCCCAAAUAAGCAUUAUUCUUGGUUUUCGCACAAUAACUUUAGUGUAAGUAAAUAGAAAUCAAUGAAAUUUAAACACAAGGUUUAUAACCACAAAAGGAAGGUUGGGAUUGAUUUUGGGAGUUGAGGUCCCAACAGUUUAGGAAUUAGGGACCAAAAAGGGGCCCAAAUAAGCAUUAUUCUUGGUUUUCGCACAAUAACUUUCGUAUAAGUAAAUAGAAAUCAAUGAAAUUUAAACACAAGGUUUAUAACCACAAAAGGAAGGUUGGGAUUGAUUUUGGGAGUUGAGGUCCCAACAGUUUAGGAAUUAGGGACCAAAAAGGGGCCCAAAUAAGCAUUAUUCUUGGUUUUCGCACCAUAACUUUAGUAUAAGUAAAUAGAAAUCUAUGAAAUUUAAACACAAGGUUUAUGACCAUAAAAGGAAGGUUUGGUUUGAUUUUGGGAGUUUUGAUCCCAACA
rnacentral:lncRNA from 1 species